UAAUACAGAGGGUGCGAGCGUUAAUCGGAAUUACUGGGCGUAAAGGGUGUGUAGGUGGUAUCGUAAGUUAGAUGUGAAAUCCCCGGGCUUAACCUGGGAACUGCGUUUAAAACUGCGAAGCUAGAGUAUUGCAGAGGAUAGUGGAAUUUCCAGUGUAGCGGUGAAAUGCGUAGAUAUUGGAAGGAACACCAGUGGCGAAGGCGACUAUCUGGGCAAAUACUGACACUGAGACACGAAAGCGUGGGGAGCAAACAGGAUUAGAUACCCUGGUAGUCCAUGCUGUAAACUAUGAGAACUUGCUGUUGGAUGCAUAAAGGCAUUUAGUAGCGAAGCUAACGCGUUAAGUUCUCCGCCUGGGGAGUACGGCCGCAAGGCUA
rnacentral:rRNA from 1 species